UACGGAGGGUGCGAGCGUUGUCCGGAAUCACUGGGCGUAAAGGGCGCGUAGGCGGUUGGGGCAGUCUGGUGGUGAAAGCUCGUGGCUCAACUACGAGUCGGCCAUGGAUACGUCCUCGACUGGAGCACUGUAGAGGCAGGUGGAAUUCCGGGUGUAGCGGUGGAAUGCGUAGAGAUCCGGAAGACACCGGUGGCGAAGGCGGCCUGCUGGGCAGUGAGC
rnacentral:rRNA from 1 species